AUACCUUUUUUACUAAAAACUUAUGAAUAAUAGGAAUACACAUUAUAAAAAAAAAUAUAAUCGUUUAUAAGGUAUUUUAUAUACUAAAUCAAUACAAAAUAUUUUAAAUAGAUAUGUUAAACAAACAUUAAGGGUAGGUAGGUACUUGAGUUUUUUUUUUUAAAUAUCUAAUUGGUGUUUAACAACUAAGUAAAAUACCUUUUUUA